UUGACGGGGGCCCGCACAAGCGGAGGAACAUGUGGUUUAAUUCGAUGAUACGCGAGGAACCUUACCUGGGCUUAAAUGGGAGUGACAGCUGUCGAAAGAUGGUUUUCUUCGGACACUCUUCAAGGUGCUGCAUGGUUGUCGUCAGCUCGUGCCGUGAGGUGUCGGGUUAAGUCCCAUAACGAGCGCAACCCUUACCGUUAGUUACCAUCAGGUUAAGCUGGGGACUCUAGCGGGACUGCCACCGUAAGGUGAGAGGAAGUGGGGAUGACGUCAAAUCAGCACGGCCCUUAUGUCCAGGGCUACACACGUGUUACAAUGGCCAGUACAAAGGGCAGCUACCGGGUGACCGGAUGCUAAUCUCUAAGGCUGGUCUCAGUUCGGAUCGAAGUCUGCAACCCGACUUCGUGAAGCUGGAUUCGCUAGUAAUCGCGCAUCAGCCAUGGCGCGGUCGAAUACGUUCCCGGGCCUU
rnacentral:rRNA from 1 species